AUGGUGUGGCCAUGGUUUCCCUGCCAAGUGGUCGGUCGUUGGUCCUCGACUAUGCAGCUACAUCAGCAAGUGCUGCGGUGGCGGCGGUGUGAGGCUUCUUGGCAGUGCUGCCAAUCCCAUGGAGUCGUCGAGAUGGGCGAAGCGCCGAUGAAAAUUUUGCACGGCUUCUGCCGGGCCGGCGGUGAUGGCAUCGUGGAUGAGGCAUCGUCGAGCGUGUUCGCCUCAUCCCUCGCGCUCUUGGUGUUGGUGGAUGUCUCCAGGCGAAAGCCUAGACUCGAUGUUUGGAUCGGCACGAUGGCGGUGUCCUCGACGCCGCUCCUCUGUUCGGAGCAUUGUGUUUGGAGACACGGUUGGUUCCUCGUUGCUCUCCUCCGGUGUUCGCCGCUAUCCUUUUCUGAUCCUUAG
rnacentral:rRNA from 1 species